GUGAGAGGUAUGUUAAGGGGGAGAAGGGGAAGCGAUACGCCUCUCUGCCUGGCGGAGAUAAAGGGGGCCCUGGCUGCGCGCGCGUUGGAUGAGAUAGGUCCUCCUCUCCAACCGGGGGGCCCGUGCUGGCUCUCGUCCAGUCUUAUCAUAUGACGUACAAGCAACCGGGCCGUCUGCUUGCGGCUUGCGAAGGAGAAGUGCACGAGCAGCCUUGAAAUUGGGAUCAAAUCCAGGCCUCCCGUCGGAGGAGAAAGGACCAUUCUCCACUUCUCCAUCUAGCGGUGGAGAGGCUCAACGUGCGCAAUACCGAGAACCUCGGUCAUGAAUAAACAUCGAAAGAAUCAGAAAUUACCCAACAUGAAAAUAACUGGAGUGGAAUUUGGCGGAUGUAAAUCCACAGCAGGGGACGGCUGCAGAGGAAGGGAAUGAGGAAGUGAAUAAGAGAGGCAGGAUACCGCCACUAAAGCAGACAUGAAUAAUGAAAGGGCCCAGUCUAUGUCUGAAUCCUGGUCUUUGUCUGAAUCCCUUUUUAUUUCUCUCUCAAUACCGCUCUUUUAAUCUGUCUGUUCGUUUGUAAUAUGCACACAAAAGUACUUCCACUACCACUGUAACUCCACACGGGGAUAAUGAAGGUCCUGCUAUGGAAAAUGUGUGUGAACGGAUGUCUUGGGCCUCAUUAUGAUGCCACAUCAUUAACUACACACCUACUGAUAUUCACGUCUGCCCACCCACACACACACACACACACACACACACACACACACACACGGGCUCACAUACUUACACACACACACGCAUGCAUUAUGGUACAGCUGUAUUCUAAUUCUCUUUCUCUGUCGGCCUUUCUCUCUAUCAUCCAUACGGCCACGUUGACUCCCCCCCCUUCACUGCUGGAUCAAGUUGGCAACAGAUGGGCCAAAGUGUUAAUAGCUGUCAUGCAGGUCAGCGAGUAUUGUG
ensembl:lncRNA